CGAAUCUCAUCGUUUGUGGCAUUCUGCUAUUCUAGUAAUGCGUGCUUCUACAUUUGCACAUUUGCAUAUCUUUGCUGGGGUUUGGAGAUUGGUUAUUGCUACGGUGUUGCAGAGCAGCAGAAGAUCUUUUAAUUGAACAGGAUUGAAGAGUUGGGACUCAAAUGGAUGGAAAAUGACUAUACUCCCUUUUCCUCUACUCUUUAAAAAUUUAAAUGCUAAACAAGGUGAGAGGAG
rnacentral:misc_RNA from 1 species